UUAUUCCUGCGAUUCCAACUUCCAAAUGAAGAUCUGCAACAAAGGUUCGUUAAUCGAAUCAAUUUUGCAAUCCCAGUUCAUCAGGGGCUGAAGAAUUGAAGAGCUCUUGAGUAAAGAAUCUCAGUAAAGAAUGAACCCUUCGGACACUCGAACCAACCCGCGACGACGAAUGAAUUUUGACCCGUUUAAUUUUAAAUGUAAUUAGUGACUCAUGUACGUAUAUUCUUUGUAAUUUUUUGACGUGUUCAAUUGUAAUCCAAUGAAUUUUGACCCGUUUCAUUUUAAAGCAAUGUAUUUUUACCUUGUUU
rnacentral:lncRNA from 1 species